rnacentral:rRNA from 1 species
GACGAACGCUGGCGGCGUGCCUAAUACAUGCAAGUAGAACGAGUGGCGAACGGGUGAGUAACGCGUAGGUAAAUGCCCCAAAGCGGGGGAUAAAUAUUGGAAAAGAUAGCUAAUACCGCAUACUUUUUGCUGGACCUGCGUGGUAUUAGCUAGUUGGUGGGGUAAAGGCUCACGAAGGCGACGAUGCCUAGCCGACCUGAGAGGGUGAUCGGCCACACGGGCACUGAUACACGGUCCAGACUCCUACGGGAGGCAGCAGUGGGGAAGCUUCGGCAAUGGGCGCAAGCCUGAUGCAGCCAUGCCGGGUGUAUGAAGAAGGCCUUCGGGUUUUAAAGUACUUUCAGCGGGUAGGCGUUACCCGCAGAAGAAGCACCGGCUAACUCCGUGCCAGCAGCCGCGGUAAUAC